rnacentral:rRNA from 1 species
AUUGAACGCUGGCGGCAUGCCUUACACAUGCAAGUCGAACGGCAGCACGGGGCAACCUGGUGGCGAGUGGCGAACGGGUGAGUAAUGCAUCGGAACGUACCUUUCAGUGGGGGAUAACGUAGCGAAAGUUACGCUAAUACCGCAUAUUCUGUGAGCAGGAAAGCAGGGGAUCGCAAGACCUUGCGCUGAUUGAGCGGCCGAUGUCAGAUUAGCUAGUUGGUGAGGUAAAGGCUCACCAAGGCGACGAUCUGUAGCGGGUCUGAGAGGAUGAUCCGCCACACUGGACAUGAGAGACGUUCCAGACUCCUACGGGAGGCAGCAGUGGGGAAUUUUGGACAAUGGGGGCAACCCUGAUCCAGCCAUGCCGCGUGAGUGAAGAAGGCCUUCGGGUUGUAAAGCUCUUUCAGCCGGGAAGAAAUCGCACGGGCUAAUACCCUGUGUGGAUGACGGUACCGGAAUAAGAAGCACCGGCUAACUACGUGCCAGCCGCCGCAGUAAGAC